AUAUGGGGAUAUAUGUAUACAUAUAACUGAUUCAUUUUGUUAUACAGCAGAAACUAACACGACAUUGUAAAGCAAUUAUACUCCAAUAAAGAUGUUAAAAAAAUAAAAUAAAAAUUAUUUUUCACAGCAAAAAAAAAAAAAGAAUACUAUAAUCAAGCUGUAUUUAUUCAGAGAAUACAAGGUUGGUUUUAAAUUGGAAAAGGUAGUAAUGAAUCCACCCCUCUAACAAAUUAAAGAAGAAAAAUCAUAUCAUUCUUACAGAUGUGGGAAAAGUCUUUGAUAAGAGUCAACAUCCUCUUAUGACUUUCAAAAAAACUCCAAAACCCCGCAAAAACCUCUUAGUAAUCUAGGUCUAGAAGAGUUUCUUUAACCUAAUAAAAGGAUAUCUAUUAAAAGUAUACAUACAGAAAACAUUAUUCUUUUUUUUAGGGUACUUUUUAAAUUUUUUUUAACAUCUUUAUUGGAGUAUAAUUGCUAUACAAUGGUGUGUUAGUUUCUGUUUUAUAACAAAGUGAAUCAGCUAUACACUGAUUUAGUGUAGUGUAUAACUACACUGUGUUAGUUUCUGUUUUAUAACAAAGUGAAUCAGCUAUACACUGAUGGGAAUAUACAUAUAUUCCCAUAUCUCUUCCCUCUUGCGUCUCCCUGCCUCCCACCCUCCGAUCCCACCCCUCUAGGUGGUCACAAAGCACCGAGCUGAUCUCCCUGUGCUAUGCAGCUGCUUCCCACUAGCUAUGUAUUUUACAUUUGGUAGUGUAUAUAUGUCCAUGCCACUCUCUCACUUUGUCCCAGCUUACCCUUCUCCCUCCCGUGUACUCAAGUGUAUUCUCUAGUAGGUCUGUAUCUUUACUCCCAUCUUGCCCCUAGGUUCUUCAUGACCCUUUUUUUUUAAUUCCAUAUAUAUGUGUUAGCAUACAGUAUUUGUUUUUCUCUUUCUGACUUAAUUCACUCUGUAUGACAGACUCUAGGUCUAUCCACAUCACUACAAAUAACUCAAUUUCGUUCCUUUUUAUGGCUGAGUAAUAUUCCAUUGUAUAUAUGUGCCACAUCUUUAUCCAUUCAUCUGUUGAUGGACACUUAGAUUGCUUCCAUGUCCUGGCUAUUGUAAAUAGAGCUGCAAUGAACACUGUGGUACAGAAAACAUUAUUCUGAAUGUUGAAAUGUAAGCACUCUCUUUAAGAUCAGGAAUAAAACAAGGAUGCUCAUUGUCUCCACUUUUAUUCAACAUUGUAUAAUUGGUCCAUGCCAGCACAGAAACUUAGAUACAAGAGCAAAUAAAAUGCAUAAGGCCUGGAAAGGAAGAAACAAAACUGUCAUUAUUUGCACAUUAUAUCAUCAAUUACACUAAAAAAUCCUAAAGAAUCUUCAGGUUUAUCAGAAUUAGUAAGUGCUUAAGCAGUGUUGUUGGAUACAAAAUCAAUACAGAAAAUCCACAGCAUUUUGGUACCACAACAAAAACCAGCUAGAAAAUAAAAUCAUAAACAUUACCAUUUAUAGAACUACGAAAAAUAUAAAGAAUCUGUGGUAGGCAGAAUAAUGACAUUCCAAGGAUGUCCACGUCCUAAUUCCCAGAACUUGUGAAAAUGAUGGGUUCGUGGCAAAGAGUAAUUAUGGGUACAGAUAAAAUUGAAGUUGCUAAUCACCUGACUUUAAAAUAGGGAGAUUAUCCUGGAUUAGCCAUGUGGGUCCAAUAUAUUCACAAGGUUUCUUAAAAGGGAAAGAGAGAAACAAAAGAGAACCCGAGAGAUGACAGCAUGAGAAGACUCUAGCCCGAUGUUGCUGGCUUUGAAGAUGGAGGAAGGGGCCGUGAGUCAAGAGGUGCCUCAACCUCUAGGAGCUGGAAAGACAAGGAAACAGAGUCUCCCCCCAGAGCCUCCGCAAGAACAAAGCCCUGCCCACACCUUGACUUUUACUCAGCAAGACUCAUUUUGCACUCUGACUUCAAGAACUGUAAGAUAAUCAGUUUGUGCUGUUUAAGCCACCAAGUUUGUAGUGACUUGUUACAGAAACAAUAGGAAACAGGGGCUUCCCUGGUGGCACAGUGGUUAAGAAUCCGCCUGCCAAUGCAGGGGACAUGGGUUCGAGCCCUGGCCGGGGAAGAUGCCACAUGCCACGGAGCAACUAAGUCUGUGAGCCACACCUGCUGAGCCUGUGCUCUAGAGCCCGUGAGCCACAACUACUGAGCCCGUGUGCCACAGCUGCUGAAGCCCGUGUGCCUAGAGCCUGUGCUCUGCAACAAGAGAAGCCACCGCAAUGAGAAGCCCACGCGCUGCAACGAGGGGUAGUCCCUGCUCGCCGCAACUAGAGAAAAGCCCUUGUGCAGCAAUGAAGACCCAAUGCAGCCAAAAAUGAAUAAAUAAAAUUUUAAAAACAGGAAACAAACACAGAAUCCAGGAAUAAAUCUUUAAUGUGUAAGACCGUUAUGGAGGAAAUUGUAAAAAUUUAUUGGAAGACAUUAAAGGAGAUCUAAGUAAAUGGUUGGAAGACUCUCUUUCAUAAAGAUGUAACUUCUCACUAAAUUGAUCUAUAGGUUCAAUGCAACACCAGUAAAAAUCUUAAUUUUUUUGUGGGGCGGUGAAGCUUGGCAAGGUGAUUCUAAAAUUCAUAUAUAAAUGCAAAGGCCCAAUAAUAGCCAACAUACUCUUGAAGAAUAAGCCAAAAUGUAUUAUAAAGCUAAACAAGUACACACUGGAAUAGAAAAAUGGGUCAAUGGAAAGCCCAGAAACAGACCUGUGCAUAUAGGGACAUAUGAUGUAUGAAAUAUUGCUGUCACAUGCCAGUGGGAAGGGGAUGGACUUUUCCUUAAAUAGUGCUCAGAAAGUAAAUGAGUAGCCAUAGGGAAAGAGAGAUACUGGGCCCUGCUACACACCAUAUGUAAAAAUUAUUCUAGGUUAAGACCUAAACGUGAAAGGCAAAGUAUAAAAUAUUUAGAAGACAUUAAAGAUAUCUUACGAUCUUGGGGUAGGGAUAGAUAUCCUAAAUAAGACACAGAAAGCACAAGCCAUAAAAAUGAUCAAUUUCACUAUAUUAAAACUAAGAACUUCCAUUCAUCAAAAGGCCAUAAAGAAAGUGGAGAGACAAGUCACAAACUGGGAGAAAUAUGAAGAGGGUCUUACACCGUAAUGAGAUUCUUCACCCUGGAAAUGGCCUCGCCUGACUGCAAACGAGGCAUGUCUCUUUUAGGGAGGAGGGAAGAAUGAGCACCAGAAGUUUCUACCACACCUAGUGAGGUUGAACUGGUCCUACCCGAAGACCCAACGAUUCUACUGUCAUGUACAUAACGUGAUGAAUGUACAGUAGCUUGUGUAACAUGAGCUGUGUGCCAGAAUGUUUACAGCAGAAUUGUUCAUAGCAGGGAAAAAAAGGACAUAAGUUCACAUUCCAUAGUAAGAAUGGAAUGUACAGAUCGUUUCAGCAUAUUCAUAUAGCAGAAUAGUAUACAAUGAUGAAUAUGCAACAAUGUGGACCCACUUCCAAAACAUAACGUUGAUGGAAGAAAGGCAACAGAAAAGCACAUGCAAUAUGAUUCUAAUUACUUGAAGUCCAAAAAGCAAAUCAGUGUAUUUGUUAAGGAUACAUACCAAGUUGUUACAAAAAAAAAAAAAAAAAAAAGACAAUACAGACAAACAAGUGAGUAACUGACACAAAAUUUAGCAUAGAUUCCCUCUGGAUUCCCUCAGAACUCUCAUGGGACCUGAGAGGGGAAACGGGGCUCUGGGAAUCAGGUAAUGUCCCAUUUAUUCACCUGGGCAGUGAAAACUUAGUUCUAUGCCUCUGUCCAAAAAUUGAGAUGUUCAGUUCAGGCCCAGGUGAUGAGAAUUGUCAAAGACAUGGCUUUCGGUAAAAAAAGAAAAAAAAAAAGAAAAAGCUCCUUUGGCACAGAUUCAGCAAACCAAUAAAGAAAUUCUUUCCUUCCACCUUUACUUUGCCAUUUCAAACCUGCUGAUUAAUCACAGUGUGUUCCUGGCAGCCGCCCAGACCAGCUCCUCUGAAAAUAGGUGAAGUGGGAGCCCUCGGACAAGAGCACCUUCAGCACCAUGGACAGCAACCCACGGCUGGCCCUUCUGAGACCAGCUAUGUAGGGAUUCAGAAUGUUGCAGAAGGGCAGAGGCCUUCAAAGUCAUGGCCCAGGAGGCAGAGGAUGAAACAGAACCCAGGUCUCCUGAUACCUAAUCUAGUCUUCAUUCCAUUGCUCCUGGCUUUGGCUAAAUGGACUGAAACUCCUCCCUGAACCAAGAAGUUGCCAGGGGCCUUCCACAUGUGGCUUUCACACAUGCCAUUGAAGCCUUGGGCUUCGCAGUCAGUCUCAGCAGGGUUGAGAUCUGACUCUGCCUGCAUCAUCUGAGUGCCCUCGGAAGUCUCUUCACCUCUCCAAGCCUCAGUGUCAGUCAUAUCAACUCCCCACAGAGUUGCUGCGAGAAUUCAGUAAUAUUAGAUCUUGUGCUCUGGUGUGCAUUUAAAACCUAGAAAAUUCCCUCUCCCUCAGUGGAUUUCAUAUAGAAAAAAAAAAUUGGUUCUUUGGAACAUUUCAAAGAUGCUGAAACAACUAGAGGCUGUUCUGGAAAUAAACCCCACAAAAUUUCCGUAUAAAAUCUUGGCAUUGCUAACAGAUAUUAAGGCUCCCUUAGAUGUCGAUGUCUUAGCUUUGUCCAGUCUGGUUCAUUAGAGGCCCCUGAUCGUUGCCUAAUAUGUCCUUACUUUUUGUCAUGCCAAGAGAUGCUCAGAGAAGAGGGGUGAAAAUAUGCCUACAAAAUGUCUCUAAGGCUAAGGGUCCUCAACCACACACUGCUUUCCCACAUUGAACCUGAAGGGUAAUAUAUUGUUCUCUUGAUUAGUCGCUAGAUUCUAUUUACUAGUAUUUUAUUUAGAAAUUUUCACCUAUACGUGUGCCAUCAGUCUAUAGUUCCCCUUAUUUUGUAUUAAAGAUAUUCUAGAUGCAUAGAAUGAAUAAGGGCAUUUCUCUCCUAUCCUUUUCUAUGGCCUCAAAUAGUUUAAACUGUAUUAAAAUGAUUCAUUCUUUAGAAAUUAGAUAAAACUCAGCUGUGAGCCUGUCUGAUUCUGCUGUCUUUUCACUGAUAGAUCUCCAGUCACCUUCUAAUCUCUUCUAUGGUAAUUGGUCUAUUAAAAUUUUCCAUUUUUUCUUGGACUGAUUUUGGUAAUUUACUAGGAAAUCAUCCAUUUCCCUGAGGUUUUCAAUUUGUUAUCACAGAGUUGCGUGUAAUAUUCUCUCAUAAUUAGUUUUAUCUCUCCUGUAUCUGUAGUUAUGUUGGUAUGUCUGCCUUCUUACUGCUAAUCUUGUCUAAUUUUACUGUCUCUCUUCAUUCUCCAUAAUUGGACUCACGAGGGUUUUUUCUAUUUUAUUAGCCAUUUCAAAGGAUAAGCUUUUGCAUUUACAUAUUCUUCCCACUGUUUAAAUGUUUUUUUCUAUUUCAUCAGUUUCAGUUCUUUAUGAAUUCCCCUUUUGUUGUUUCUUUUCCUAAUGGCUUGAGACAAGUACUAAAAAUGAUGUUAUGUUUAGCCUUUGCCCCUUCGAAUGAAGGCAUUUAGGCGGCGUGUUUCUAAGCUGUUAUCUUUACUGCAUAUGUUUUGACACGAAGCUUUUUCUUUGUUUUCCAGAUGAUAUAUAACUUCUUCUUUGAUUUUUCUUUGAUCCGAAAGUUAUGCAUGAAUGUUUUAAAUUUGCAAGUAAAGUGUUUGGCUCCCAUUUUAUUAUUAAUUACUACGUGUGUUGAAUAUGGCUGGAGCAUGAGGCCUGUGAAAACUUCAUUCUUGGGUUCUUGAAUUUGGUAAUGUUUUAUUGUCAGCCUAUUAUAUACUGAUUUUCCUCGGUGACAUUUGGGCACAUGAAAAGGGAUUCACUAUUUUUAAAAAAAAAAAAAAUAUAUAUAUAUAUAUAUAUAAAACUAUAUUAUAUAUAUGUUCACAGUUAUUGGUUGCAUUAUUCAGUUCUGGUGUUAUUACUUUGUUGUUUUUGAAUUUCAGAUAUACAUAGAAGCAGACAGAUAACGUAUGCUAUACAUCCAUCAUCAAGAUUCAGUAGCUGUGUACAUUUUGCUAUGUUUGUUUUUUACUGAGGUAUUUAGAAUUAAAUUAUAGGCUUCAUGGCAUUUCACCCCUAGAUACUUCAGUUUAUCUCUUUACUAAGGAAGGAUGCUUCCCUACUUAACCAUGAUAUCAUUACUGCACCUGAGAAAAUAACAGUGAGGUUCUAUAAUCUUCUAAAACUCCAUCCAUAUUCAAAUUUCCCGAAUUGUCCCUAAGACAGCUUUUAAAAAUCUGAUUUGCUCAAACUAGGAUCCAAUCAAUGGCCAUGCAAUGAAUUUGAUUGCCUCUUAACUUCUAACAGUUUCUUAAUUUCUAAUACUCUUGUCCAUUUCUUACGGAGAUCGUGCAAUGGUCUCUCACUAUAAUUAUACUUUUAUCCAGUUCUCUUUCCUUUCCUAAUAGGUUUUGCUUACAUAUUUAACUCUUUUUUUCUUUUUAAAUACAGGCUUAUGACUGUAUAGCACUUCAUUGUAUAACAUUCUAAUUUAUCACAUAUAAAUAUUUUAAACCUUUUUGAGAUUACUAUCUACCCGUCCUACUUUAUUUUCAUUUGCUUUAUCCUUGUAGCUAUUUUCCCAGCAACUUAUUUUAUUUUAUUAUUAUUUGUAAUGUCUUUUUUUGAACAUCUUUACUGGAGUAUAAUUGCUUUACAAUGUUGUGUUGGACUUCCAGCCUCCAGAACUGUGAGAAACAAAUGUGAGUUGUGUAAGCCCCCCAGACUGUGGUAUUUUGUUAUGAUCGCCCAAGCAGACAGACCCUAAGACCCCUUCCAUUGCACUGAUAGCCAUUCUCUCUUCCCUGUUUCCCAGAUCUCUCUACUUUGAAAAUAAGAUACCACCUAUUCCACACAAUAAGAUAUUCUAUUUUUCCCCUGAUUAUUCCUCCCCAGUCCAAUAAGAUGACACUUCUAGACAUCUUUUAUUUUCUUCCUUUCCCCUCCCUCUCCAAGAUGAGAUCCUUGCAAAGUUUAUAAUUGUCCUUCCUGGCCAUAACUUGUAGCUAUUGCUGAGCUAUGACUUUUAUAAAUAGACUAUCAUUACAAUUUUUCCUUUCAGUACGGACCUUCAAUUUUAGGAACCCUUACUUAGCACUUAGAUGAUACAGUCUGGGACAGGUCUAUCCUUAUUCAUUUUUAUUCAGUUUACCACAUAGCAAGUUCCACUGCUCACCAUUACAUCUUUCCCUUUUCAUCAUUCUUCAUUUCAUUGGCUCUGUUCUGUCUUCUUUAUUUUCAGGUUUGGGUCUUCUCUUGAGUCUUUUCUUCAAAUGAAGGAUGCAGGGGAUAGAAGAGAAUUUGGGAAGUGUACUCUCAGAAUCUUCCUUUUGCCUUGACGGGUGAGUGGGAACUUGCCUAGGGACAGGAUUCUUGGGUGAAGGUCUUUGCCAGGUAUGAGGGUGGACAGAAGACCCCAGGCUUGGCCAUGUGGCCUGCUUUGGCCAACACAGUGCAUCCAGAAGUGAUGGAGGAUGUUUCUGGGCAGAAGCUUUUGGGACCACGGUGAAAUCUGUCAGGUUCCAUCUCCCUGUCUGGGAUGGUGGAAGCCUAGGGAAAGGGAGCAUCUGUCAGCCUAGGUCUCAGGGGGCCAGUGAACAGAGCUACUAUCAACUCAACAUGGGCAGGAAAUAAGCCUUUGUAAUUUGAGCCACUGAGUUUUUUAUUUAAACAAUGUUCUAGUUCUGCUAUGUCUCAGUCAGCGCAGGCUGCUGUGACAAAAUGCUGCAGACAGUGCUGGGGGUGGGGGGUGACCAACAACAGACAUUUAUUUCUCAUGGUUCUGGAGGCUGGAGUGUCCAAGACUGGGCGCUGGCAGAUCCGGCACCUGGCAAGAGCCCUCUUCCUGGUUUGCAGAUGCCCUUUCUCACUGUGUCCUCACGUGGCCGAGAGAUAGUGAGAGAGAGAGGGCUCUGAUCUCUUCCUCUUACUAUAAGAACACUAAUCCCAUUACGGGGCCACACUCUCAUGACCUCAUCUAAACGUGAUCACCCCCCGAAGGCCCCACCACCGAAUGCCAUCACACUGAGGGUUUCAACAUAUGAACGUGGGGGACACAGACAUUCAGUCCAUGACAUGCUGUAUAAUCUAUCCCAUCCUGACUGAUUCAGAAACCGAUAGGAUGCGGGGUGCUCUCACUCUCCAGGUACAACUCUCCCCGUCGUGUCUGGCUCUGGGCCCCCCUAGAUGCCAUGAUUUUUCUUUGUCAGCUCUUUGGAGGCUCAGAUCUGAUAGCUGAGUGCCCCUGUGUUGAUCUGGGUCCUCCAAGAAGCAGAUGUUGAGAUGCAACUAAACACACAAGAAAUUUACUAGGGAGGACACUUAAGAGAGGAAACGGGGAGGGAGCUGGGAGAGCCAUCACACCGUGAUCUGACCCAAGUGAAAGAGGGAGGGAAGGAAGGAUGGUAGGGUGGAAACCAAAUACUCAGUUAAAUUUAGCUGCCAAAAGGCUACUGCUCAGAAAAGGCAAAUAGACAGGAGGUGAAGUGAGGCCUGGCCCCAGAGUCUGGCCUGACACUUCCUUUCCAUGGUAGCUGAGGUGCAGGCCAGAACACAGGUCAGUAUGGCCAAGUACGGGCUGCACAGGAGAGAAAGGGGUGUGGGGUGCAUUGGGGACUGAAUUGUGGACAGUACUGCUGAUGAAGGAUCGUGGGAGCCAACGUGUACACAGUACAUCGGUCUGUGGUGUGUAAGCCUCCUGACCUCACCUUUGCAGCCUCCAGGGCCUGGACCAGGAACUGGCCGAGUACAUGCUUAACAGACAUUCAAGAAAGAAUGAAGACCUGUAUCUCUACUCUGGUCUCAGGUUCUAAGACAUAGUCUGGGAGAGAGAGACUUUGGGUGGGAGCACCAAGGAGGUGUGCACCAGCACCAGAGUCAGGGAAACUUACCCUGAUCGUCUCAUCCCCACCCGUCAUCGCUGCCCCCUUCUACCUUGUCUGCACCCCACAUUCUCCCUCCUCUUUGGUUCCUGCAUCUCUCCUUCUUCUCUCUGAUCCCCCAGUCUCUCCAUCCUUCUCUCUGGUCCUCCACUUUCCCUUCCUCUUUCCGAUGUUCCAACUCUCCCGCUCCUGCCCCUGCUCUGCUGGGUUCAAAAUCUCAGGACUGUUGUGCAGGAGUCUCUGGUGCCCCUGCAUUUGGAGAAGCAACAGGAGCUCAUGAGAGAGUGAGGUUCAAAGCUAGGGACAGAGACAAACACAACCAGCUCACCUUCCUUCAGUGCUUACCUGUGCCAGGCGCUCUGCUAAGUACAAAACACACCGCGUCCCCAUUUCACAGAUGAGGAAAUUGAGACUUGGGUGAAGUGACAGGCCCAAGGUCAAUCAGCCAGUAUAUGGUGGAGCCAGGAUUCAAACUCAGGACCAUCUGAUUCCAAAGCCCACCUGUUUGCACUACCUCCACCCCAAGCUCGGAGACGGUGCCAGUGUGGUACCUGGCUUUUCACCCUCACCACCAUCCAAUCAGCCAGGAGCCCUCAUUCCACCCAUUCUGCAAGGGACGGGCCUGAGGCUUGAAGUCCAGGGGUUCACCCAGGAAGUCGGUGCCCAGAUCUGAGCCAGGUCGGCCCUAGUGCACACGCAGACUGAGUCCUUGACCAUUAUGGGCCACCUCCUCACACGAGGUGUCCCCUCCAGCCCUCCUCCACCCCCAGCAUCGUGGUCCUGAUGCACCCAUGCUCCAGCCGGCCUUGGUCCGGGGCUGUUCACUUGCGCUGUGUUAGGACUGCACGGUUGUCACAUACUCAAGGGAUGGAAUCUCUGCCUGGCUCCAUCCAAGCUGCACAGCGGCAAUGGAGUGUGAGAAAAACAGGAGUGCAACCUGUGAUGUGGUCCUUCUCAGCUCAGCCUUCUCCUGGGCAUCCUCCUCUCUAACCGUAUCCUCGAACCUUCUUGAACAUCCAUCCCCUUUGCGUUCUCACCUGCUCCCUUGCACUUGACCCUUAAGGAAGGUCUUACAUCAGCAUCCGUGGACUUUAGGGUGUAAAAGUCAGUGUUGCCCAGGGCCGGCCCCAUUGCUGAAAUGGUGCUAACUUCCCUGGGGAAAAUCCUUAGGAUUUUGUUUCUUUAUAUUUCUCUCUACUUUUUAUAUUUUACGCAAAAAGUAUUGUUUGUGAUCAAGAAUAAAUAAAUUAAAAGGGUACAAUGAUUAUAAAGAGUCAGUAAUUCAACCUGCCGCCAUUAAAGAGAUUUUAGGCAUCUGAGUGGAGGUGUGGGAGGGAUUUGAGGAACUGGGGACUCUUCCUGUUGCUGCGGAAAUCGCACCUUAUCCACCAGGCCUGUCCUAGGUCCUUGGAGACCAGACAGCAUCGGAAGCUGCAGUGAUUUCACCCAACUCACCCCCGGGGUGCCUGGUCCCCUGUGAGUGGACCCCGGCCCCGACAAGAGACGCUCAGCAGUGGCCUCUGGGAGGCUGGGGCCAUGGGCUGUGUGCACUGCAGGCCCAGCCCCUUCACAGUCAUCAGAGUUGGAGUCGUCAUUGUUUUAAUUGACCACCCAUUUCUUGGGGACCCUUCUUCUUCCAGGUUGGAGAGCUCCCCAGGUGCCCUGUGGUGCUGAUUCUACAGGAUGUGGGUGCCCCACACUGUCCCAUGAAGCGGAUGUGCCUUCUCUCCCUCCCCACACUAUGCACGCGUGGACUUCCAUGAAUGCGCAAGUGAAAUCCAUCUUCCAUCCGUGGGCUGCGAGAACCUCCGUGAUCUGGCCCUGCCUCCCGUCCUCCUGGGGGGGCUCGGAGCCCUGACCUCUGACCUCAUCUUGUGCCAACUUCCUCUGGGCCAGCAUCCCAGCCACAUUUGCCUUCUGGCUCUUCCCUGAAUAGGCCAGCGCCCCUCCCCUGACCCCAGGGCCCUUGCACAGGCUGUUCCUCUGCUUAGACACCCUUUCCUGGGCCCAAACGUGUCAUUCAAGUCUCAGCUCCAGUGUCAUCUCCACGGGCUGGCCAUCCCUGACCACUGCACCUCAGAUCUCUCUCUGCCCAGUACACUUUUCACCGUCCUGUGUUUCUCAUCUUCCUGCAAUCACCUGUCUCUGGCUUUUCCCUGAUGGUUAACCGGUUUACUGUUCACUUUCCCAGCAGGACGAUUGCUCCGUGACAGCAGAGACAGCUGGCCCCCCAAUACUCCUCGAGGCAAGGGCUGGAUUUCCAAGCUAUGUGGACUCCCUGGAGACCCUCUGGGGGGCCCUGGACCUGGGCUCGGGGGCCUGGGAGGUGGAUGGUGUCCCAGCUCUGCAGACGAUGAUGACUCUGUGACCUCCCAUAAGUCCCUGGACUUCUCCGGGCUGCCGUCUCCUUAUUCAUCGAACGAGGAAGGAGACCUAACUGCCAGUGUACCUUCCGGCCCUGUGGGAAGAGACUUAAACCCCGGAUGGGGCCCUACAAUGCGUGCAUCCUCAGAGUGUGGCUGUGCCUUCUCCACGCCCAUAGCAACCAGAGAGCUGGGAUCAGCCCAUCCCACGGCCUGGGGACUGGCCAGGAAGCCCUUUGGGGUCCCACCGUCUACACUGGUCUGGGCUCCCGCAGCCCCUGUGACCCACGGGUCUCCAGCUCCAGACCUGCCAUGGCCAUCUCCCAUCUAUCUUGUGUCACAAACUCCCAGCCCCUGCCUGGCACGGCGGCCCCGAGCCUGGCAGGUGAUGUUUCAGGGGCAGAGAAAGCCCCUCUGAAGCCCCAGACCCUUGCAGAGCUCCCAUCAGCUCAGUGGAUGUUUCCUGAUCCCUACUCUGUGUUGGGGACACAGACAGGUCGGACAGGCCCUGUCCUAGGAAUCUCGAGGCCUGGACCGGAACAGGGGCUGUUCGCACCGGGGCACGUGGGCCAGGCCCAGACCCCACCUGGGCCAGAAGGGUUUCCAGGGGAAGGCUCCCAUGGAACAGGAGCCUCUGGAAGCACCCCACCCUCUCUUCCCUCCGCCGGGAGGUGACAGGCCCGUGAUUAUACAAACGAUACACCUGCGAGUCCCAGAAUAGCAGCAGUGUGUACAGGGAUGCCUGUCUCGCUGCCACCGCGGCUGCAUUUGCAGAAAUACCUUCUGCCGCACAAAGGUGAACAUGGCAGAGGCGAGAACCAGGCUUCUGAAAAGGGAAAAUAUUUAAACACCUUCCGCGGGGAUCUGUAAACUCUCGGCACGGGGACAACGAUGGCGCCAUGUGACUGGACUAAAGUUAGCUCCCACCGGAGGAAGCUGACUCCCCGGCCAGGGAGGUGGAGGGAGGAGGGCAGCGUGUCCUCCGCGGGGCGGGCGGGAUGAGCUCCCGCACCGCGUGGCCCCGCCUGCGGGCCAGGCCUCCGCCGGCGAGCCGCACACGCCUCCCCGCGCUUCAUCCAGAUGGAUGGAGAGCCCUCUUCUGCCCUUGCCAACCAACCGGUGGGGUGGGCACGGAGCGGGUCGCCCGGAGCGGGUCGCCCACUCGCCCACGGUCACGCCGGGUGGAAACGACAAGCUUGGGAUUUGGAUCCCGGCCGCCUGACUCAGAAGCCGGUACUUAUCCCACAGCCCGAGUGCCAGUCGGGGUCCGUCUGGGAGAACUGAUCUGAUGGUGAUGGAGAGCCUGUGCACACCCCGUGUGCGCUUUGGGGACACGCUGCUUCGGACGGGGGGGUGGGGUCCGCAGAGCAGCCUCCACGCCCCGGCUCUGCCCCGUGCCCGUGCUGGACAACUUCCAGGUGUUCCUGUCCACAGCCACAUCAACAACCGCGGGGCAUCCCGUCUCACACCCGAGCGCAAGCUUCCCCACGUCCCACAUUUAGAGCGUUCUCCGUAAGCUAUUGUUUGUUUUUAAGAGCGGAAGAUUUUUUAUUUUUAAUUAUUCUUAUUUACGUCAGCAUUAGUAUUACGAAGGAGAAGAGCUGGGUUCAACAAAUGUCCCCUCUCUAUGGGUGUCUAAUUAUUUUACGCACUGGGUGGUGAGGAGGUGACUGAGAGAAAGGUCACCAGUGCCAUUUCCUGGCCACCGGUACGUCGUUCUUGAAUCCAUUUCAUUAAUCUAGUCAGCAAACGCCCAGGAGCCUCUGCUCUGCCAAGCCCCACGUACCCAGAAGCGGAGGCUGAGGGCAGGAUGCCCUCCCCACUGCCCAGGAGUCCCGCUGUGGGCGUGGACAUGCUGCCCUCCCAUCUCCUGGGCCUGGUUUUCGAACAGCCUCCCUCAGGGGUUGGCCCUGGCGCUCCGGCCUCGGUUAAUGAGACCCUCCUGCUGGGCACAGAGUUCGUGCCCCUCCAGCAACCCCCCUCAGGAGCUGUCAGCUGGUGAAGCCUCUGCCGAUGGCCUGAUUGAUCCUGGCAGCACUGGGGCUCCGUGGGGAACACGAUGGAGCUAUUUAUGGAGCAGGUGUGGAGCUGGGCAGUGGUUCAGGCUGCGCGUUAAGAAGCCUGAAAUCCACUGAUCAUAUUUCCUGCAGUAAAGCAAGGGCUUGUGUGUGUGUUGGGGGGGUGGGGUUGGGGGCCGCCCUUGGCUCGAAGGAGGGGCCCCUGGCCUUGCCUCUGCCCUCAUUCGCAUGUCACCCUGAGUCCCAGAGAGGGCUGGCUGGCUCCUCACCUGCUAGAUGAACUUCCUACUCUUAAGAGUCCUCUAACUCCGGGGGCAGAUCAGAUCCUCCCUGAGCCUCGAACCUGCACACCGAUCGUUCCUGCAACAGUUUAGAGUGUGAAUCUCCCAGGCGUCUUUGCCCACGUGGUCACAAUUGGAGACAUCACCGCACAAGGAGAACUCUGGGGCUCAGAAAUUCCAACCUUUUCGCCAUCACACUGGUCCAGCCUGGUAGCCUGUGCCUGGAGAGAAGGAUGCAGCCCCCCAGCUCCCACCCCACCCCACAAAGGAUCUGCAGUCAUGGUCACUGUCCUAAGCUUAGAGCCUUGGCUUCAUCACCGGCCAAGGGGAUGAUGAUGGCCUCACAGAGUCAUCAUGAAUGCUCUAUUCCCAGCUCAGGCUGAACACCCAGCAGGUGCUCAAGAAAGGCUCACUCAGGACCAGCCCACCAGGGCGCCAUACACCACCAUCACGGUGCCACUUGCUCGCGGCUCCCUACGUCCUCUCACAAUGCCAUCUCAGCUGGGUCCAGGUUGGUGAUGGCCUUGAAAGGAAACAGGUGAGCACUGAGCCCAGGACGAGCCCUGUGUGGACCCCUGUGUUCAAGAUUCUCAGGCUGUAACAGAUCUCGACCAAAGACAGGGCUGGGAUUGAUUAGCAAUGUCUGCUGUGGGCCCAGGCCAAGGGAAGGCAGCCUGUGUGCCAAUAUUGGUGAGCUCACCCUUGGACCCACUCCCCUCUCCAGGCUCACUCCUCACUCCUUCCACUGUCUGAGCUCUUGUUGCUUUCUGCCCUCUCUUCCACCUCUGCAUUUCGUGUUCUUUCUCCUCCUUCUUCAUUGCAUUCGACCCCCAGGGACAUCAGAGUCAAGGCCUAAACCUCAGAGACUCUCCGGGUCCUGGCAGGCAACCACCUUUGCCAUCUGCACAGCUAUUUUUUUUUU